GACGAACGCUGGCGGCGUGCUUAACACAUGCAAGUCGAACGCUGAAGCUCAGCUUUUGUUGGGUGGAUGAGUGGCGAACGGGUGAGUAACACGUGAGUAACCUGCCCCCUUCUUUGGGAUAACGCCCGGAAACGGGUGCUAAUACUGGAUAUUCACUGGUCUUCGCAUGGGAGUUGGUGGAAAGGGUUUUUCUGGUGGGGGAUGGGCUCGCGGCCUAUCAGCUUGUUGGUGGGGUGAUGGCCUACCAAGGCUUUGACGGGUAGCCGGCCUGAGAGGGUGACCGGUCACAUUGGGACUGAGAUACGGCCCAGACUCCUACGGGAGGCAGCAGUGGGGAAUAUUGCACAAUGGGCGCAAGCCUGAUGCAGCGACGCCGCGUGAGGGAUGGAGGCCUUCGGGUUGUGAACCUCUUUCGCUCAUGGUCAAGCCGCAACAAUGGUUGUGGUGAGGGUAGUGGGUAAAGAAGCGCCGGCUAACUACGUG
rnacentral:rRNA from 1 species